rnacentral:lncRNA from 1 species
GGGGACAAGCGCAACACCUGCGGAGGUAUUUGCAUUCUUUUCAAACUGCAUCCAACCGGAAACAAAGGUCUACAGGCAGGCCUCAUCCCGGGGCAAAAUGUCAGGAGACCAACCCUUAUCUGCCAUCGGGAUUCCUGUGCUUCAAUUUCUUAACUUUUAUAAAAGGAUGAAAGUAAAGUAAUGUGGGCGGAAGGGACUCUGGAACGAGAAAGGACACUGUUACGCAUUAUUAUUACAAUACUACUGUUCAAAUCCGUCACGUGGAUUCUUGCACUGAUCUCAGAAGACAACUGAAAAAACUAUGUUCGGUGAAAGAAAUGGGGAAAACAGCAAAACAGCUGGCUGACAUUAAGCAGUAUCCUGAGAGUAGAGGUCUGCAUUUUGGCACCAUGGAAAUUACGGUCACGGUGACUGGCACUCAAGCCUGGCCUAGUUGGCUGCGUGGUGAUACUGUGGAUUGUUAAUAAGAGUGGAAUAAAGAGGAAUUUUGACAGCAAGAAGGUGAAAAAGUGACUCCAGGGUUAUUCUUGACAGAGUUUGAUGCCCACAUCAAUGUCAGAAAAUAAAAAUCACUCUUUCAAACAAAGGGAGUUGGUUCACAGGAAAAGCUGAAAAG